CAGUAGCCGCGGGAAUACAGAGGGUGCAAGCGUUAAUCGGAAUUACUGGGCGUAAAGCGCGCGUAGGUGGUUUGUUAAGUUGGAUGUGAAAUCCCCGGGCUCAACCUGGGAACUGCAUCCAAAACUGGCAAGCUAGAGUAUGGUAGAGGGUGGUGGAAUUUCCUGUGUAGCGGUGAAAUGCGUAGAUAUAGGAAGGAACACCAGUGGCGAAGGCGACCACCUGGACUGAUACUGACACUGAGGUGCGAAAGCGUGGGGAGCAAACAGGAUUAGAGACCCGAGUAGUCCCUGUCUCUUAUAC
rnacentral:rRNA from 1 species